GUGGGGAAUCUUGCGCAAUGGGCGAAAGCCUGACGCAGCCAUGCUGCGUGAAUGAUGAAGGUCUUAGGAUUGUAAAAUUCUUUCACCGGGGACGAUAAUGACGGUACCCGGAGAAGAAGCUCCGGCUAACUUCGUGCCAGCAGCCGCGGUAAUACGAAGGGGGCUAGCGUUGCUCGGAAUUACUGGGCGUAAAGGGCGCGUAGGCGGACAGCUUAGUCAGAGGUGAAAGCCCAGGGCUCAACCGUGGAAUUGCCUUUGAUACUGGCUGUCUUGAGUACGGGAGAGGUGAGUGGAACUCCGAGUGUAGAGGUGAAAUUCGUAGAUAUUCGGAAGAACACCAGUGGCGAAGGCGACUCACUGGCCCGUUACUGACGCUGAGGCGCGAAAGCGUGGGGAGCAAACAGGAUUAGAAACCCGAGUAGUCC
rnacentral:rRNA from 1 species